CCUACGGGAGGCAGCAGUGGGGAAUAUUGGGCAAUGGACGCAAGUCUGACCCAGCAACGCCGCGUGAAGGAAGAAGGCUUUCGGGUUGUAAACUUCUUUUAAGGGGGAAGAGCAGAAGACGGUACCCCUUGAAUAAGCCACGGCUAACUACGUGCCAGCAGCCGCGGUAAUACGUAGGUGGCAAGCGUUGUCCGGAUUUACUGGGUGUAAAGGGCGUGCAGCCGGGAAGACAAGUCAGAUGUGAAAUCCCGCGGCUCAACCGCGGAACUGCAUUUGAAACUGUAGUUCUUGAGUACUGGAGGGGCAGGCGGAAUUCCUAGUGUAGCGGUGAAAUGCGUAGAUAUUAGGAGGAACACCGGUGGCGAAGGCGGCCUGCUGGACUGUGACUGACGUUGAGGCCCGAAGGCGUGGGGAGCAAACAGGAUUAGAUACCCUUGUAGUC
rnacentral:rRNA from 1 species